CAAAAAUGAUUUAAUAGAAGGUAUUCUCCAGGUAGAGAAAAUGCAGCUGAGGUAAUACUGUGCUUUACUGGGCUUCUCACAUUUUGUUGUAUUACAAGAAAGAUGCAGAAAAUAACAUGGUUUUCCCCCUUGAAAAAAAAAAAAAAAACAUUUCUCAUAAGAAUGAAUGCACCAGACAGAUGAGUAACGCAUGCAGUUCACUAAUACUGUCAUCUCCUCAGGGGAGGGUCGGGUUGAAGUUUCACGAGAAGGUUCUUCAGCGAGAGAGUGCUCGGCAUUUGGAAGAGUUCAAAAGCAAAAUUGGCCCAGCUGGUGUUAGUGGACAGCUGCAUUAAACUUCCCAUGGGAGCCAGCUGGAAGAGCAUAUGGAACUAACAGAUAUGCUUUGGACUGCAAAUGAAGACAUAUGGUUCCUAAAGCCAGUGCAGAGCAAGCUAGUAUGGACUAAUUACUCAUACUAACAGAAUAAAAAAUCUGAGGAAAAAGACUUUCACAGGCCACAGAGACUUCAAAACUCUCGCUUGCUUUUGAAGAUUUUUUUCUUUUUCAAGGUAAGUUUAAUAAAUUGUUAAUAUUGCAGGUGUUAAACUGUUGGUAUACAUGUAAUUUUCUGUAAUACAUGGAUAAAAAGCUAAUUUGCUUGUUUUCACAGGAUGCUAUGA
ensembl:lncRNA